CCGGCUGGCGCGGGCCGCGGCUGUUCGUGCGGCGUGUGCCUGGGCCGCGGGCGGGCGGCUGCUGCGGGGCCAGGCCUGGCGGCUCCCAUGGAUGACAGCAAGGUGGUCGGAGGCAAAGUAAAGAAACCAGGCAAACGAGGUCGUAAACCAGCCAAAAUAGAUUUGAAAGCAAAACUUGAGAGAAGUCGUCAGAGUGCGAGAGAAUGCAGAGCGAGAAAGAAGCUGAGAUACCAGUACCUGGAAGAGCUGGUAUCAAGCAGAGAGAGAGCAAUCUGUGCACUUAGAGAAGAGCUGGAAAUGUAUAAGCAGUGGUGCAUGGCAAUGGACCAAGGGAAAAUCCCCUCUGAAAUAAAAGCCUUGCUAACUGGAGAGGAGCAAAGCAAAUCACAUCAGAACUCAACCAAACUUGCCAAGGCUGGGAAGACAGAAACACACAGUAACAAUCCCUAGGGAGAAGCCAUGAAGGUACAGUAUCUCCUGAAAAUAUACCUGGAAUAAUCCAUCUAAAACCACAGAAAUUGGUGAAAGUUGUUCAGCUGAUAUGGAAGUCAGCGGUGAAUCCAAUCCUAUUUGGCAUCUCGUGAAAGAAUGGAUAAAAUUUUGCUUCAGAAUUCUGUCCGUCUGUUCUGUGUGAUCUUUUCAAUUGUUACACCACAAAAAUCAGUGUUAAUAUCACCAUAAAGAGGUUGACACUAGCCCACAAAUGUAUAGAAAUUCAGAGGUAAGGCUGAAAUUCGACUUUAACCAACGCAUGCUUAAGUAUAGUAGCAUAUGUGACAUGUAAGAUCAUCUGAUAUCGAUACCUCUUCUGUAGGGAGGGGGAAGACACAAUUUCAGCCUUAACACUAAAUUUCCCUCUUGUUAAUACUAUGUAAUGUUCUCUUAGUUUUGGCUUUUUGUAUAAUUUAAUUUGUUUAUUACUUUUUAUGGUGAUUACUUGGGGGUGGGGAGGGUGCUUUUAAUCUGCAGGCCUCAUGUUCCUGAUAUUGCAUCAUCAGACCAAGAUCAAGUUGAAUUUGUGUUUGUCCUAUGCAUAUGUUGCAUACAUUGUAACAUCUCCCUUUAACCAUUCUCCCAGAAGUUAAUAUGUAUUAGUGAUACUGAUAUUUGCAUUGGUGUUCUCUGUCUUGUCUCCUUUAAAUUGUGACUAGAAAAUAUUAAGGGCCUUAUUUCUUUA